rnacentral:lncRNA from 1 species
AUUGUUACUUCAAGAGCCUUCUGUCUCAACUUGUUGAAGGGCCAACGAGUAAGAAGAGGCUCGGUACAUAUGUACAAACCAUCCCACAUCAGAUCUUGUAUUAGGGGAUGGGGGUAGUAGAGAUCCUCCUGCAAUAAACAAUUUUGAAUGAGUGUUUCAUGCAUGUACGUUAUAUUCACAGGAAAUACGAAAGCUUUUCUGUUAGAAAGCUAAACUCACCUUUGCGCAAAGAUGUCGUACUUUCCUCCAAUUGAUUUCAUUAUAAGGUUGAAGGAAGAGCUCUUCUCUCAGUUCUAGAACAAGAGGUGUGAUUGGGCCAACGAAUCGUUUACCAUAUAAGUAUGACAUGGGCAUGUAAACCAUCCGACAGUAGCACCACAUUUUUGCUGCAUUUAUGCACUUAAAUUAUAAGAGGCUAGACCAAAGAUAGGAAAAUGAAAGCUAGACCAAAGUAGACAUGGGAAUAUGCAUUUCUAAAGACCAAUAAGCCAACCCCAGGUUGAAUUUUUAAGUAUUCACGCGUAGCAUUGCAUAAGGCUUAAGUUACACAGCUUUUGGCUUAAGCAUUUUGAGUCAGUGUGACCAAUUCCAAGUUUUAUGCAAGAAGACCUUAGUAUGAAAAAUACAUUACGUGCAGAAGUAGAUCUGAAAUUCAAGCACUUGAGUAGAUGACUACAGCACAAACCUGGAUGCAUGGGAAGACGAGAAGGGAAGAGCCAAAACUCUGGGGGCAUUGGGUUGCUUCCUGACCAGUCAAACAAGCCAAAAAUCUACACGGAAGAAACAAUAUCAUAUAAGAUUCAGUCCAUGACACAAGAAUGCAUUGUAUAGGAUGAAUGUGAACUUUUGUUUCAAGUGGCCAUACUGAAAGCCAAGUCUUUCCCCAAGAGGGAAUGGAUGUCACUCCACCACGAUCGAGGAUCCAUUUACGCCCUCUUGCACAAGCAUUUUCUCUACCACCAUCGGGCCCUUCUCCAAGGAUACGCAUACAAAUGUAGCUGAGUGUUGUACAAAACAUGGUGCUGUGUCCCUCAAUAUGGAAUCCCCACCCACCAUCUUCAUUCUGCAAUGUACAUAAGCCAUUUUCAUACUUCGAAGCUCCAAACCCAUUUAUGAGGUUAGGAGGAUGACUAGGUUCAAAAUAUAUAUACCUGAUGACAGUAUAGGUAGCGAAGAAUUUCUUUACGAUAUUCUCCAGGGAAUACAGUGUCAAGAUGCCCUGUAAUGUAUAGACACAUGACCUACAUUUUCCAUGAAAUUAUGCCAUUGAGAAUGGCUGUUAAAAUGGUCUAUAUACAUGAUUUUAAGGAGGGUGAGAGGGUGUUGAGUAGACUCACCAGGGGAGGAAGGAAAUACAAUGGGCCAGCAUUUUCAGCAGGCCAAUGGCCAUCGCUAGCCUGCAAGGCUGAAAAGAAAUGCGCACCCCUUCUCACUGCUGCUGUGGCUGUCUCAUAUGUAAUUUCUUCACCAUCCCCAACCUUCACUUGUGGUAUUGUUUGUUUGAAAUUCUUCUCUCUCAAAAACUGCAGGUUUUUUUUAGCCAAAUGAAACGGGAGUUGGUAAAGAACAAGUUCAAAAGAAAAAGUAAAUUAACCUCAAUGGUAAACAUUCACUUUAUACUAUUGUUUCCAAGCUAAUAGGGUCUCUUAGAAUCAAGAUAGGUGUAACAAUGACCAAUUGACUUUUUAGGGGUGAAAACAUGGUAUGUACUGACUAGGGCCCAUAUUUUAGGUAGGUUUUCAUAAAGGCCGACAAUUACAAGAUUAUUGGUCUCUAGAUUAUCUAAUUGGGUUUUGCCUCCAUAUAGUUCAGGUCCCAAAUGUCCCUAAUUGGGUUUUAGUUAGGACAUGAGAUGCAUAAUAAUAGGAAAAUUUAGGGGUGACAAUUCAUGUUGGUGAGUAGUAUUGGUGUGGUGUUAAAACUCAAGUAUUUUACUAUAUAACUCAACCCAAAUCCGAAAAUAAUAAUAAUCUUGUCAAAAACAUAAACUCAAAUACUACCUAAUUACCAAAUAGGUCAUCUAACAUAUUUAACCCAUUAAAUAAUUAAGACCUUUUAUUUGAUAAUCAAGUUGAGUUAGGUCUUAUAUAUGUCUAUAUAUUAAUGUUAAUAAAUUUAAAAUUAGUUGAAUAAUUUAAAGAUAUAAUUAGAUUAAUAACUGGAUUAUUAAAUGAGUCAAUUCGAUUUAAAUUCAUAUUAUGUAGGUUGACCUAAAAAUGACUUAUUUAUUAAAUGGAUUCUACAUAUCAAUAUAAAUAUAACCUAAACUCAUUUAUACUUAAUCUAAACUCGUAAAAAAUGCAUUAGGAAUCAUAUCAAACUUUGCCACGCCUAAUAGAAAUGCCAAAUUCACUGAAAAAUGAGAGGAAGGAUCAUAAAUUGAGGUAGAUUAAAUAAACAUAAUUGCACUAGGAGACCUUUUUACAACCAUAUGAACUAUCACCUAAAAUACUAAGUUGUUAAGUAAUAAAACAACAAUGAACACGAAAUCUAUUGGAGCUACAACCCAAUGAAAAACUAAUACAAAAUUUAUGGUCAAUAAUCAAACAUGGAUUGAAAUAUCGGAUUUUACAGAUAUAUCGGUAUUUCGAUUCUACGGAUUUAUCAAAAAUAUCGGUGGAUAUUUUUUCACAAAUAUCAGUGGAUCGAAAAUUAUUUAAAAUUCAUAGAAAUGCUUAAAAAAAACUCCAAAAAAUGAUAAAAAUUAGUAACAAUACACAUUUUAAAGUUAUCUUGUAAGUGUAAUUGACAUACAUAUAAUCAAGAACAAAAACAUCGUAUAAACAGAGAUAUAUCAGUAGAUUCAAUAUUUGAAUUUUAAAAAUAAUAAAUAUGAAUUUUGCAAGUGUAUAAAAUUAGAAUUGAGUUAAGAAAUAUUUGAUUUUAUUGAAUAAAAAUAAUUUAUACAUAAAUAUAAUACAUAUGACAUUACAAUAGUCCUUAGUAUUAAAAAGAAGAUCGAUGUAGUUCCAUUGUAUUAUUUAGAUGAAGGGAGCUCAUCUUGUUGAAGACAAUAUUUAUUUUAAAAAUUUUAAAAUACUUUUAUAAAAACAUGUUUUAUUAUAUUUUAAAUGAAAAAUUAAAUUAAUUUAUAUAAAAUAUUUUAUUUGAGAUUUAAUUUUUAAAAUUUUAUUAAAAAUAAUAGUAACAACUUUUUCUAUUAACAUUAAUUUAUUUAAAUAAUAAAAAUUAUUAAUAAUUUAUCUUAUUAAAUUAAUUUUAAUUUAUAAAAUACCAUUAAUAAAAAUCGAAAUUUUGAUAGUGAUUUAAUUAAAAUAAAGGUUGAUAAUUAAUAAUUAUUUAUAUAGAGAUAGGAAAUUUUUUUUUUUUUUUUUUUAUCUAUGCUAAAUCUAAAAAUUAAAAGGGCCACCCGCUUCUCUCACUUGGGCAUCAAGAAGCCCUUUUCUUCUGAAGUUGCCCUCCAGACGAGAGAAUCCCUAAAAAGGCCCUAUUUUCCUCUGCCACUCGCAACCCCCGUUUGAUUACCAAGAAAAUCCAUCCCCCAUUCGAUUUCCGGGAAAAUUCAUUCUCGUUUGAUUUCCGAGAAAAUCCAUCCAAAACCCCCACGAAAAACCAAAAAAAUUGCUUUUCUUUUGCUCCCUUUUCUGGAUCUGUUUUGGGGGGUCGCUUUGCUGUUGUGCCAUUGGAUUUAAAUUUCACGAACCCUAAAUCCACAAUUUUUGAGCCAGGUUGAAAAACACAACCUUUGCCUGCAAAUCAUGAUCAGAUUACCAAAUAGCAUCUUAUUUAAAAAUAAAAAUAAAAAAUUGGACAGAUUUUGUAUCCUGUGCGUGGACUGGACUGGAAAUUUCCGAAAAAUCGGUAAAAAUACCGAAAUAUCGGCGAUAUUUUCGGUGAUUUUUCGAAAUCCUCCUCCGGCUGCUCCGCCGUCACCUCCACUUGCGAUACUUCGAUAUAUCGCCGAUUUUGCCGAUUUUCCUCUCGAGGGAUAAUCGAUGUUGAAUUUCGUUUCGAGGCCGCCGAGAUAUAUCGUCGAAAUAUAGCCGAUAAAAUCCAAUUUUUCAAGUCCAUGCACUCGGAACACAGCGUGAUUUUCAUUGUGUGUGGAUGGGUAGUGUUUUGUGUGAUGUCUUUUCUGAAAUUGGGACCGACGUUUGAAUUAUUUGCGUAAAGAGGCUGGUAGUGUGAGACACUUGCUCUAUGUGUGGCCCCAGAAAUCGACAGUCCAAUUUCAGAUUCAUGGGAUCUGACGGCCAUAAGCUAGAAAAAGGAAUAUUAUGCAUCACAUAAUAAAACUAUUUUUAAAAACGAUUAUCAAACAAGACGUUGGCUUCCAAUUAGAAAAUGACGGCUAUUGAUCUCAACGUGAAAAUCUCUCUCCCUCUCUCCCUCUCCCUCUCCCUCUCCCUCUCCCUCUCCCUCUCCCUCUCUCUCUCUCUCUCUCUCUCUCUCUCUCUUUAAAUGGUAUAAGUCGACAUAAAAAGAAAAAGGAAAAUAGAGGACAUGUCAUUGUAUUAUGUAGUUAUAAGAGCUAGGCAAGGGGAUAUGAAGCUUAAGAUGGCACACGCACCUCCCUUACAAAUGGAAAGAAAGCAAGAUUAAUGGAACUAUUGAUCCCAGACACUCCCCCAAUAACGGGCUAUGCUUUUUGAACGUGCUUUAGUCUAUCAGCCGAUGAAAAACCCGGCCCUGUGAAGAACUAUUGGUUUGACUCCACUAAGUCUUUUCGUGCUUCCUACUCACAACUUUUUGUUGGGUUCACCCCACUUGGCUAAUUUGAAUCUAAACCUUCUCUUUUUUUGGGUUCAUUUCUUCAUAGAAAUGAUCAUCAUCCACACUCAAACAAAACAAAACAAAACCAGAAAAUCCAUGGAGCUAGACUAUAUAUGUCAAACAAAACUUAGAGCUUGUUUGGCUAGGAAGUGCUUUUAAACUUUAUGAAGUUGGUUUCAAGUGCUAGAAAGAUGUUUCCUAGAAUAACUGCCAAACAAGCUAUUAGAGAUAUAUAGAUGGGAUCAAAUGAUCACCUGCAUUCGCCAUAGAAGGUCGCCGCUGGGCUUAACCUGAUACCGGUUCUUCCAGAAAUUUUCGCGAGCUGCUUCGACCUCAGCUCGCUCUUCUGGGGUUCCAUAAUCAGGAUCAAACUCCCAUAUCUGUCUUCCCACGAAGUUGUUGGUGCUGUAGAUGUAGGGAUCAUUGCCCCCAUCUGCAACCUUGAGCCUCCACAUUUUCCAACUCACCAAACGGACGAUAUAUAUCUCUAUAUCCAAGUGUAUAAAUGUUUGCACCUCUCUUCCGAAAACACCUGCUGAUCAUGCAAUCACUAUCCUUAUAUCAGAGGCCCCAUAAAUGCAAGAUAACCUGGUAUCUUUGCCACAAAAUAAAGGUAAAAUGAUUGGAAACAAGAGAAAGAAGUAGGCAGCAAGAAAGAGAUACAGACCUGGCCUUGUUUUCCAGAAGAUGGGAAUUCCCAGCAAGAAAUGAGAGAUGGGUAUUGAUUCAGGAAGUGGGAAUGGUGAGUUCCUUGUGGGAAAUCAAACAUUUAUAUAGAAGCAGAACACAAAGUCACCCACUCCAUCAUACUACUUUAUUUUUUUUUUAACUCAACUUUCAGAUUGUGGAAGUCAGUGUGGAGUAAAAACUAAAAACUGAAAACACGUUUUUGGACUUUUAACUGUUAAACAAACAAAUCGGUGGUCUUUCCAAUAAUCAAUCAAGAUUGUUUUUUCUUUUCUUUGUGGGGAAAGUGUGUGUUGUUUUCUCUAAUGGCUUCAUGUAAAUUCUACAUUUUGUUUUCAUCUCAACAUGGAGUCUAGUACAGGUAUCUAUGGAGUUACUCUCUCUCUCUCCCUCUCUUUUGUUUUUAUCUCAACAUGGACUCUCUCUCUCUCUCUCUCUCUCUCUCUCUCUCUCUCAUCCAUCACCAUAAUACCUAUAUUAAGAUAUUAAGAUACCAAUGAUACCUAUCACUAAGGAAAAUAUUAAGAUACUCAAAAUCUAAAUCCGAAAUAUUAAAUAUAUAUGAUGAAAUCUAAUUUAUUGAAUUAAAGUACAAAUAAACAAGAUUAAGAUAUAAGCAUAUAAACAAAUAAGAUAUUAUCAGAUUGAUGAUAACCCAAAUCCUAAUAAAAGUAAAUUAUAUUUUAUAUAUAUCUUAAAAGAAUGAUUUUUUUUUUUCUUCUAAACAUGGCCUUUGACAUUUUAAAAAGUAUAUAUAUGUCUUAAAGGACGAUCGAGGGCACAAGACAAUAGCAUAAAGGCAAAGGCUCUCUAUAAUACAAGUCCCAUGCGAGGAAAAGUUUACGUACGAAAAUUAUGCCCUACACAGGCUGAGUUUUAAAAAAAAUGAUAAUAAUGAGUAAAUCAACAUGGCAUGUUUAUUCUUCGCCAGAUGGCUUCAGUAUGAGCCAACCUGCACUCUCACUCUCAAGAAGGUAACGGUACUCCAACGCCAUUCAAAGUUCAAACCCAACAAAAUCAUGCAUAUAAAAAAACACAAAAAUAUUCUAUGAAGGUAGGUAAGAGCUAGGAUAGUUGAAAUUCAAGGGAUUAUCUUUCCUAAAAAUUAAUCCUUCACCUUUUUUCAACCUAAAAAAAUACUUAUUUUUGACAAAAAUAUCUUCAUCUUUUUUUUUAUAAAAAUAAUCAUUUUUUUUAAAUAUACAUAUAAAUAAUAAAAAUAUUGAAGGGUAUUUAUGUCAAAAAUAGGUUACUUCAAAAAACGGGAAGGUCUGUUUUACAAAUUUGGGAUGUUUUCAUCAUUUUUAAUUAAUUAAUCCUAUUAUUUUCCAAUCAUCUUAAUUUUGCCUUUUUUUUUUUUCUCCCUCACCCUCCUUAGUUAAAAUAUAUGUUUAGUUUUCAAAAAGUAUUAAGAAAAGAAAAAAAAAACAUUUAAAGAAAUAAUUAUUUUAUGUUUGAUUAGUUAGAAAUUUAUUUAUUUUUAAAUUAGUUAAUGUUUACAUUAAAGAGUUAAAUAAGUAGAAUGAAUUUUAAGUAUCUAAGUAUAUAAAAAUAAUUUAUCAAAAAUAAAUUCAUUUUUCCUUUUCUUUUGUUUUUUUUUUUGUUUUAUUUUUUUCCUAUCAUUUUCUCUCAAAUUUUGAGAGAAUCAAAUAUAGCCUAAGACUUGCUAAUGGCCGGAUUUUCUCACAUUUCACCCUAUGCAAUAUGGCCUAACCAUAAUUAAUAAAUAGGAAAACAAAAUGGAUCUAUAUUUUAUUUCAUUUUUUGAAAUAAUUGAUUAAAAUGGAUGAAAUUAACAAUCUCAUAUUUGUAAAUUUAAUAUCUCCUAUCUUUUUGUCUGAAAAAUUAAGCCAAUGUCUUUUCAAAUAUUAAUUAUUUAUGUGAAUUUUAAAAGAAAAUAUUAUUUUUAUACUAAAAAUAUGAGGACAUUUUUGUUUGAAACUGGUUAAAAAAGUCAAGAUUUAAAUUUACAAAAUGGGAACAUGUGGAAGAUAUGAAGAAGAUGAUAGCUCAGGAAACCUAUCUAUCUUGAUUCCUCAAAUUGUCCCUCCAUCAUCAAGUCUACGAAAAUAGGAUAAAAAAUUCAUCCACCAACGACCAAGAACAUGUGGUGGAUUCUCUCCCCACGUUCCUUGUUUUCACUUGUAGCCUUCUGUUCCGGAUAGGAAGAAUGUCACUUUAAUACGUCUCUCAGUCCUCUACUCACAACUUGACGAUGAACUAGUAAAUUUUCACUAGGAUUUCGUUUUCUUUCCUAGAGAAUUUGUAAUGUGUACAUUGAAAUGGAUGACUCUAUGUUGGUUUCUUAAAGAAAAUAAAAAAAUAAAAAUGGAAGAAAAAUAAAAAUAGAUUUAGAGUUAAUAAAUAGUUUUUAUAUGAUAUUUUAAAUUUAUUUUACUAACCUUAACUUUGUAUUAUAAAAAUCAAAUAAUUUAAAAAUAUAUAUUUUUAAUUAAUUUUAAUUAUAUAUAUAUAUAUAUAUAUAUAUAUAUAUAUAUAUAUAUAUAUAUAUAUUGCAUUUUCUAGUUAAUGUUAAAUAGCAACUUUUUGCAUACUAUGAAAAUAUAAUUAAGGGUAGGAAAAGUCCCACCACAUAAGAGUAGGACAUUUAUCAAACUUGUACAAUUAGAUUUGAAACUUCAAUAGAUUGGGACCGAUAUUUAAGAAUCCUCUUGAUUAUAAUUAAAUACAAAGACUUUACUAGAUUGUCACGUGGAUAUUUAAGAACCAUCUUAGAAAAGGGGUUUAGAUGUAAUUAGAUAUGACAACGACUUUAGUAGAUUAUCCCUUGAAUAUUUAAAAAUCCUCUCGAAAAAUAAGGUUUGAGGAUAAGUUUACUCAUUCAUUAAAUAAUAAUUAUAAUUUUCAACUUUGGGGUAUUGGAAUGGGAGUAUAAACGAUAGAUUUUAUAAUUGACUUAGAAAUAUUCAAAGUCCAACAUUUCAACAGUGAAGAAUUGAUUGCAUGUUGAUGGUAUCAAACUGACUAAUAUUUAUCAUAAGGGUUUUUUUUUUUUUUUUUUGUCUUUUUUUUUUCAAAGGGCCAAAAUAUCCAAACUGCCAAUUUGUGAAUGGUUUUUAAGAAUAAUUUUUUAUUCUCUAAAACAACAAAUAUAGAAAAGCAUGUUUUGAUAAUAAAAAAUUGUUUUCUAUUUUCUAAUUUUAAGAACAAAAAAUAGUAUAUUUUUAAAUAAUAUCUUUUAAUUAUUUUAUGUUGAUUCACUUAUUUUUAAAUGAUUGUUUUAAGAAAUAAUUAUAUAAAUAUAUAAAAUAAUUAAAAAUAAAAUAUUAGAUAUAAAAAUUAUUUUUAAGAUAAGUUUAAAAAUAUUAAAAAUAAUUUUAAAACAUUUUAUGUUUUAAAACAAAAUUUUGUAAUAUAAAAAUAAGAUAACAAUUUUCAAAAACUAUUUUUUUAAAUAGUCAAGCAAACGGAGCCCAUGUUUCACUUCCCUUGAUUGCUUAAAAGCCAAGGUGGACCCUUGAGAAAGUUGACUUUACAUAUAUUUCUAUGUUUAGGCAAUUAUGACAGUUUCAUGGUUUUUAUUUUGAAAACAUGUUGUCAAUAAUUGUAUGUUUCACAAUAAAUAUAAGUACUUAAUCUUCACCAACAUUUUCAAACUUUCAACAUCCCACUAUUCUUUCUCAUUCAAAGAAAGUAAAAAAUACGCGGUUUGGGGAUAUUUUCGAAAAUAGUUUUCAAAAUAUAAUUAAAUAUCUUUUGAAAAAAUAUCUUAUUUUCAAAACAAUUCUUAAAAACUUGUUUUUGAAAACAAUUGAUAACUUAUGUUUUCAUGCUUUUUAUUUAUUUAUUUAUUUAUUUUAUCUUAUAAACAUUAUGUAAAUGUCUAAUUAACUUUUUUUAAAUCAAUUCUCAAAAACCCAGUUUUGAUAACAAUUCUUAAAAUCGGUUUUCAAAUACUUUUUUCAACAAAAUUUAUUUGAAAAAUCAAAUAUUAAAAUUGGUUUUCUCAAUACUACAUACUUACUAAUGUAUUAUACAAAAAAAAUUAGAACAAAAAACACAGAAAACACGUUUGACAAGCAAAAACCAUUUUUUAUUUUCGGUAUUUAAGAAUAGAAAAUAUGAUAUUUUUAGAAAAUAUUUUUUAAUUGUUUUCUAUUUUCGCUUGUUUUCUAAAGGUUAUUUUAAGAAAUAAUUAUACAAUCAUAUAGAAUGAUUAAAAAUAAAAUACUAGAUAUAAAAAUCAGUUUUAAAAAUAUUAAAAACGGAUUAAAAACAUUUUAAAUUUUCAAACAAACUUUUGUUCUACAAAAAUUAAAAAAUAAAUUUCAAAAAUUAUUCUCAAAAAGUAUUUUUUUUAUAAUUGUUUUCAAAAAUAGUUACCAAAUAUACUUUAAAUGUUUUUUUAUUAUAUAUUUUAAUUAUUUUUCAUUUUUUUAAGAUAAUUUUUAAAGAAUAAUUAAAAAUAAAACAAUAUCAAUAAAAGUUAUUUUAAGAAAUAUUUGAACAUUUAUUUAAAAUGUUAUCAAACAAGUACCCUAAAAAUUGUUCUAAAGAGCAUCCUAUUGAGUUAUUGUUGACUAUUUUUUUUAUUUUUAAGAAAAAACUGUUUUCAAGAGCUGGUAAAUAACAUAAACUUAAAAUUUAUUUUCCAAAUUAUUUAAAAACUUUUCUUUUUUCUUUUUUUCUUUUUCUUUUCUUUUUUUUUUGGGGGGAUUCUUUUCUUUUUUUUUUUUUGGGGGGGCGGCCGCCGCCGCGGGGAGGGAGAAAUUAAUGAGUCACGUUCUUUUUAGGUGAAUCCAUGAAUCCUCCCAAUGAAUGGCCCCUUAAUUCGUUGAAUUUGUUGAAUUUGUUUCACAGUACAAUCCAAAUGCAUCCACUUUUCUACCAGAUCCAGCUGUCCCCAAGAAGACAUUCAAUAUUAAAUAUUAAAAAUUGACUACUUCUUUGUAAAGUAUUUCAAUUUGGCUAAUUGAAAUUUUAUUUAUUUUGGAUUUCAGCUUGAUGCAGUUCCCCUUUUUUGGUGAAAAAUUCUUAUUAAACACCAUCAAUGUGAAAGGGAAAGUGUGAGCCGUUUACUUAUUGUGGGGGAGCUUAAAAGUCUUUGUAGGAAAGGGAGAGAAGGAAAAUGGCCAAAGAAGUGGAAAAUGAGGAAAGUGAUUGAAAGGGAGGUGAUUGACAAGGUUGGUAGGGCUCAUAGUUUAAUAGAGGCAUAAGAAAAAUAUAAUAAUUUUUUAUGAAUAAAUCUUAAUUAAUAGAUUUUAAAUUUAUUUUAUUAAAUAAUUAAGAAUAUUAUAAAAUGAAUAUAUAUAUAUAUAUAUAUAUAUAUAUAUAUAUAUAUAAUGAGGAGGAAGGAAUUAGAGAAGAGAAUUGAUGAAGAAUUUCGUUAUGAGAAAUCUUUUAUAAGUUUUACCAAAUGAUCUUCCAUUACUCAUAUUUAAGAUGAGUAAAUGGAAGUUCAUAAAUGAAUUUCAAUGUGGUCAUUCUCCACUCAUUUACAAUAAAGAAGGUACUAUUAUUUAGGUUUAAGUUCAUUUAUCUUACUUAAUGUUUUGGUUAAAUACAUUUGACUUUCAUUAAUUUGAAAUUUCAAUCUAUACUUUCUUUAUUUCAAGCAAGAGAUGGUAAAUAAAAAUAACAAAUAAAAAGAAUAAAAAAUGUAUUUGAUAAAAUUUCAAUCCAAUAAAGGAUAACUUUUAUCAUUUAUUAUAUACUAUGACACAUUCUUAUAAGACAUGAGUCUUAGGUGGUGUUUGUUUUUUUAGCUUUUUGCUGAAAACAAUUUGUUUUAAGAAUUUAGGUUGUUUGUUUUUCUAUUUUUUCAUGACUUAUUAUAAACUUUUUACUAAAUAGAAAAAACCAAAAUAUGUAACUUUUUUUAAAUAGAAAAAAUAACAUAUCAGUUUUUCUUUACUUUUUAAUACUUAAUAGAAAUAAAAUACUACAAAAACAAACAACCUAAUAUUUAACAUUAUUAAACAUCAAAGUUCUAUAUAAAAUUAAGUAAAAAAACAAACACCUGUAUGUAUGUAUGCAUGCAUGUAUUCCAAAAUCGCUAUUAUUUUUUUUUUUUGAAAACAAUUCUAAAAAAUAAAUUUCAAUUAUUUUUUAAAAUAAUAUUCUAUUUGAAAACUCAAAUACAGGAACCAUUUAUUCACUUCAUAUAAAAUGCUUUCAAAGUAUUUGUCAUAUUUGAAUUGUUACUCAAAACAUUUUAUAAAAAUUAAUUAAAAAGCACCUUAAUUUUAUUCCCAAAACAACCUAUUUUCCAAAAAAAAAUCUCAAAAGUUUAUAUUUUAUCUAAAAUUUGUCAAAUAUCUAUUCUAAAUAAUAUUUUUGACAUAAUUCAUAUGAUUUGAUGAAGUAUUUUAAUUGAAUUAUUUUCAUUUAAUUUAAUUGUGAUAAUAUUUUGGACUUACCUAUUUAAUUAUUUUGAAUUUUGUAUGAUUUUGGAGGCUCAUUGUAAGCAUUUCAUAAUUUUAUUUUGUUAUAUUGGGUUUGUGAUUAAUUAGGCUUCUUUUCAUAUGUUGGGUAGGGUUUAUUCUAACAAUUCAAAUGGAAAAUCAAUUAUUUUUCAUCUAAAAAAAGGUGACCACUUUUGAUAAUGACAAAAGAAACCAUUGUACCAUACAUCCUUCCUUAUCAUGCGUAUUCAGGACUUCAAGUCCUGAAUUUCCAGGCAUUUGGAUCCAAGUGAUGAUAAAGAAGUUGGCCACUUGUAUUGGAAAAUAGACUAUAAAAAUAAUAUUCAUAAAAAAUACAUAAAUUUAAUUUUGGAAAAAUUUUUAUAUCCAAUAUAUUUAAUUUGUUAGUAUCUUAAUACACAACUUAAACAAAAAAUUAAAUAAAAAAUUGAAUUCCUUAGAAUAUGAAAUUCACUCAAAUAUUAAAAAAAAGUUGCAUAAUUUUUAUUUAUUUAUUUAAAAUUACAAAAUAGCAUAUAAGAAUAUUUAGAAGUUUACAUUACAAAUCAUUUUAAAAAUAUAAGGUAAAUAGAUACUUUAUAUAUAGAAUGUUCUAGUUUUAUACAAUAUAUAUAUAUAUAUAUUUUAAACAUGAAAAAUAUCCAAACAAACACUCAAUUUAUUUAUUUAUUAUUUUUUAUAUUUAUUUGCCAAUUCAAAAUAGAGUGCAAAACAUGUCAAUACCAAAUAACUCCUUUAAUUCUUUACCAUAAUUUAACAACUAUUUUAUAGGCUCCAACAAGGAAAAUUUUCUUGAAUUUUUAAUAAUGCAUAAAGUAAUAAUCCACCUUUAAAUAAUAUAUUGAUUUGGUUUGAUUAAUUUGAUUAUAAUAAGAUAGUUUGACUUUGAUAUUGUAUUUAAUAAUUUUGUUUUUGGCAUUUCCCCUCUUGUACCUUCAAGGUACAAGUCCAACAAACCAAAAUGGUUAUGAAUCUUAUGAUACAAAUAACCGAUUAUUAUAUAAGAAUUAGAUUAUGUUUGGUGGCAAUUUUAUGAAGUAUUUUUUUUUUUUUUAACUCUUUUAACACUUAAAAUAUAAUUUUUUUAAAUAUUAAAAAGAUUAAAAAUAUUUUUUAAAAUCACUAUCAAACAAACUUUUAAUCUACCUUGGUUCAAUCAAUAAAGAAUUGACUAGUUGUAUUGAUAAAGAGUAUUGAAGUUGAAGGAAACCUUUCACCACUCACAAAUUAAAUGAUUAAUUUUUGGAAUAAUAAUCACCCUAAAAUAAUCACCCUAACUUUCUUUUGAUAUCAAAGUUUAGAAAUAUUUCAAAGCAAUAUUGGAAAGUGGAGACACCAAUUUGAAAAAGAUUUCACAUUACUUUUUCCUCCUUUUUGAUUUUCUCAUGCCCAACACAAUACUCUCCACAAUAAAUAAAAUAAUAUUCAUAUUCACAAUAAAGAAGUUGGCCACUUGUAUUAGAAAAUGGACUAUAAAAAUAAUAUUCAUAAAAAAUACAUAAAUUUAAUUUUGGAAAAUUUUUUAUAUCCAAUAUAUUUAAUUUGUUAGAAUCUUAAUACACAACUUAAACAAAUUUUUUUUAUAAAAAAAAUUGAAUUCCUUAGAAUAUGAAAUUCACUCAAAUAUUAAAAAAAAGUUGCAUAAUUUUUAUUUAUUUAUUUAAAAUUACAAAAUAGCAUAUAAGAAUAUUUAGAAGUUUACAUUACAAAUCAUUUUAAAAAUAUAAGGUAAAUAGAUACUUUAUAUAUAGAAUGUUCUAGUUUUAUACAAUAUAUAUAUAUAUAUAUUUUAAACAUGAAAAAUAUCCAAACAAACACUCAAUUUAUUUAUUUAUUUUUAUUUUUGAUAUUUAUUUACCAAUUCAAAAUAGAGUGCAAAACAUGUCAAUACCAAAUAACUCCUUUAAUUCUUUACCAUAAUUUAACAACUAUUUUAUAGGCUCCAACAAGGAAAAUUUUCUUGAAUUUUUAAUAAUGCAUAAAGUAAUAAUCCACUUUUAAAUAAUAUAUUGAUUUGAUUUGAUUAUAAUAAGGUAGUUUGGCUUUCAUAUUAUAUUUAAUAAUUUUGUUUUUGGCAUGGCCCCUCUUGUACCUUCAAGGUACAAGUCCAACAAACCUAUGAUCCAACAAAUCAAAGCAUGUUAUGAUACAAAUAACCAAUUAUUAUAUAAGUAUUGGAGUAUGUUUAGUAGUGAUUUUAUGAAGUAUUUUUAAUUUUUUUAAUAUUUAAAAUAUAAAAAAAUUAAAAAAUUAGAAAAAUUAAAAACACGUUCUAAAUUUAUUACCAAAUAAACUCUUAAUCUAUCUUGAUUCAACCAUCAAAGAUUUUAAAUUUAAUUCCACCAUAGAUUGGUUAGUUGUGUUGAUAAAGACUCUUGAAGUUGAAGGAAACCUACCACCACUCACAUCUUAUAUGAUUAUUUUUUUAGAAUAAAAGGUGUACAAUCACCCUAACUUUCUUUUGAUAUCAAAGUUUACAAGUAUUUCAAAGCAAUGGUGGAAAGUGGAGGCACCAAUUUUAAAAAGACUUCACAUCCUUUUCCUCCUUUUUUAUUUUCUCAUGCCCAACACAAUAUUCUCCACAAUAAAUAAAAUAAUGUUCAUAUUCAAAUUCAUAAUAAUAAUUUCUUUUUUCAUCCUUUUCCCAUGGUGGAGGAAAAAUUGAGCUUCCCAAUAUUUUCCUAGAAAGCACCAAGAAAUUAAUUGAAUCUCUGUGUAUAUUUGUAUCAUUAAUUCUAUUUUAAUUAAUAAUAAUUGUGUUCCACUUUGUGUUAAUUUAAUAUGACCUCUCCUUAAUUUCUUACCAUGGAAAAACAAUUGCCCCCACCAACCAAUCAAAUUGAAAAUUUCUUAGUGAUGUCAUCAAAGAUGGUCACAAAGAAUACUGAUCUUCCAUUCCAAUUAAUGUAAUCAAAAUUGAAAAAUUCAUAUGAUGAUAAUCUCUUAAUUCAUUUUAUUAAUCUUUUUUUCUUUUUUUUUCUUUUUUCUUUUUUAACAAAAAAAAAAAAAAAAAAACCCAACAAGUUAUAAAAUUACUCAUAAAUUGAUUAGUUUAUUUCAUCAAGUAGACAAAACCCAUAUAGUGGGGCUUCUCUAUUUUGACUGUGGAAGUCAAAAUCCAGGACACAAUUAAGAUGACAAUCUAGAAAGUUGAGGCUGGAGUGAAGCUUCAUCUUGGAAUUUUUUUAAUGGAUAAGGAGCCAUGUUUUCUACAGGGCCUGCCAUAGAAAAUUCCAUUGCACAAAAAGUUGACUAACUCUUAAUCUUUUGUUUUUUGGCCUUCUUUUCCAAUCUUCACCUCAUUCUUUCCCAUUAGGUUUGUAAGCCCUAUUUGGCCUUUUGUCCCAAAUGUUAAUGUAUUUUGAAUGUUUUAUUGCUAUUAGUUUUGUAAAUUAAGCCUUAUCAUUUUUAAAUAAUUGGUUUAAAAGGAUAAAAUUAUCCUCAUAUUUAUGAAUUUAUCCCCUCUUAAAUCCAUUUUGACAUAAAUAUCCUUGAUUAUUUUAUGUAUUUAUAGUAUAUUUUAAAAGAAAAAAAAUUAAUUUUAUAAAAAGAAAUAAUGACAUUUUUGUCAAAAUAAGACAAAAAAAAAAUGAAAAGUUUGAUUUUUAAUUAAUUUUAAUAAUCCUUUUAAUUAAAUAAUUUUAUUAUAUUAAAGUCUAAAUAAAGAAAAUAAAGGCGUCUUGUCGCUAUCUUCUCUGUCCGUCUCUCUCUUAACCUUUAAGCAAAGAAUAGAUCACACUUUGAGUCUAUCCAAUUGAGCAAACUCUUAGGAUCAUAUCAUCAACAUUGUCAAAAUAAUAAUAAUUCCCCAUACCCAUUGAUUAAAUUUAAUAAUUCAUAUUACUAUGUCAUUAAAAUUGUCACAAUAUAAUAACACUCAUAGUCUAUCAUUCUUUAUUUGACUAGAAAUAAGGGUGUGAUCAUUUCAUCUCGAAACCAUUUAGUACUUAAAUAAGAAUAUAUUAAUUUUUUUAAUAAUCUUUGUCAUCAAUAUCAUUUAAAUAAUCCAAUUUUUAUUAUAGGUCAAGUUAAAUAUCAUAAAAAAACUUUUAUUUACCUUCCUUAAACAUCAAUUGAUAUUAUUAAUAUGAAACUAUAAAAACAUUAUUUCAGAAUAUUACAUAUUCACAAUUUAUAGAAGUAUAGUGGGGAGAGCCGGUCAAACAAAUAUUCCCUGUUUAUAAUGUUUCUUCUCUAUAUUUAAUGGCACAAGAAGUUGAGUAGCUCUUAUUUGUAAUUUGUCGUUUUCCUUCCUAAAAAAUUUCCUUUUACACUCUUUAUCUCAUUCUUUCCCAAUAGGUUGAGUCUAAAUAUCUUGUUUGAUCUUUUGUCCAAACAAUUGAAAGUUCAAAACCCAUGAAUUAGGGUUUAGAUAAAAAAAAAUUAAAUAAACAAAUGAAGGUAACCUAAAUUCAACACCUAUCAUAUUCAUCUAGUAGUUCUUGGAUCAAAUUCAACUCAAGUGUGGAUGGAAUAAUGCAGUCAACUUUGAAUCAUGCAAUCACCUUAACAAUCCUGCCCAUCAAAUCUGUUGAAAUUAGUUGCCACGUGCAUGCUUAUGAUGUAUGCAAUUCUAUAUAUGUUCCCAUAAUGUCUGGUCAUCAACUUAAUUACAAUAUAACCCACCAAGACAUUUGAGGCCUCAUAAUUAGGAUUAGCUACUCAUAAAACAUAAAAUAUUGGGUGAUUAAUUAGUCGGUUUUCGUCACCUUCCAAACUUUACCCUAAGCUGCUCAUUAAACUAGUCCCCUGUCUUCCCAAGUUUAAUUUACACAAUCUUUUACUUAGGUUAAUAAUCUUAGUAGCUUUUAUUUCAAAGAAAAGUUGGUCUUCUUUGGCUCUCUAAAUUCUUUGCUUCGUGCCUUUUUAACCAGUCUCAAAGUUACAUACAAUCUUAUCAUUAGAUGCCUUGUUUUAUUUAUUUUGAUGGAGGAGUCUCUACUUCUUUGACUCUUCUUUUUGACUAAGACCCCAGACAGCCAUGUUGGAGGUGGAAUAUGGAUUGGAAAAUGUCCACAUACCUAGAGUCCUAUAAUAUAAUGUAUACUAAUGAGCGUGAUCAUGAUCAUGGACCCAAGAGAGAAUAUUCAACUCACGACGUUAUUCUUUUUCCAUUUUUAAUAGCUGAUCUUUGUUGAACUUGGUCUUUGUACUGUUCAGGGAUUUUCCUUUUUCCGCUCUUUCACACACAUGGAGCCACAUUCAGGUAUUGUUUGGGGAAAAGACAGAUCUAAUGGCAUAUUUUUUUUAGCAGUAUAUGAUACUAUAAACUAACUAGGGUAUGUGCCAUGUCUGGAAUUCCUCAAUAGAAUCAUAUUUGUUUAACUGAUUCGUACCUGCAUAACCUUCUUAGGGAAAAUAAAAUCGGCCAUGGAAAGCAUACAUACAUAUAUAACAAAAAAGAUUGUACGUGGAUCCAGCAGAUGUUGUUGGGUCUACUGCAUAUGUUGUUAAUGGAAGAAAGCAGUUGUUUUGGUCAACCAUGCCUGCUUUCACCAAUAUCAACUUACAAGAUCAUAAUGGGAACUCAGCUUUAUCUAUCGUUAUCUUCGAGUGACACCCUAUUGAAAUUGAGUGCAACUCGCUUGCUAGCAAUUGGUGUUUGUAGGCGCACUGGGCGGUGUUCACAUCGUGCCAAAACCUAGUCAACUCAAACCAUAUAUAAAUAAAAAUCGUGUUAAACAUGUAAAUCAAAAUACUAUUUAAUCAUUAAAUAAGUGACACGUAUCUUAUGCAUUUCAUUUAACCUAUUUAAUAAUCAAGUUGAAAUAGGUCUUAUAUAAUUUUAAUCAAACAUAUUUAUGACUCAAUUGAUUUAUUUAUUUAAAAAUAAAUUUAAAAUAAGUUAAAGAUGAGUUAAAUAAUUUAAAGUUAUCAUUAGUUAAUUAAUCGGAUUAUUAAAUGUGUCAAUUAAGUCAAAUUUAUGUCAUAUGGUUUGACCCAAAUUACCUAUUUAUUAAAUGACUUAUGCAGGUUAACAUGAAUUUAAUCAAAAUCUGAUUAUACUCAAUUUAAGCCUUAAAAAAUGUGUUGGGUUUAAGUCAUGUUAAUGGAUCCCAUCAAAGUUUGUCACCUUUAAUAAUAUAUAUGGAGGUGAGGAUUUACUUAAUAAAUUAUAUACAUUAAUAUUAGUAUAGUUAUGAUUAAGCCAUGUAUCAAAUUCUCAAAAGUUAGCUCAGUUUGAUCAUUAGCAUUAUUACUCAUUUUUUUAUUAGAUUAAAGUUUAUUUGACAGUGCUUUUAAAAAAUACCUUUAAUAUAAAAACGUUUUUGAAAAACAAAAAAUUAGAUGUUUUAUAAAAUUAAAAAAAAACAAUAUUAAACAAUUAAAAAAAUCACUCAUUAUGCUUCUUGAAGAAGCAUUUGAUUGGUAAUUCUCUCAUAACAUUUAUAAAAAAAAUACUUCCACUAAAAUCUCUUUUAAUACAAACACUAUAGAGGCAAUUUUCAUGAUAGAAAUAUAUUCAUUUGUGGCUUGUAGCAACCUUACCAUAACAUGGGGGUCAUUAAUUAAGAACUUUAUGAACCCAUUACGGAUCCGUCCCUAGUGUUGCUAGGAGGAAGACCUAGCCCCCACCACCAACUACCUCAAUUUAUGUAUAUAAAUUUUAAGACUUAAAUGAUUAUAUUAGUUUAUAUCUAAUUUUAAAAUUAGAAAAUUAAAAAAAAAUUAAUGCUGCGUUUGAAAGUAGUUUUUUACAAAGUGUUUUUAGUUGAAAUAUUUUCUUUAAAAGUGUUUUUAGGAGAAUUACUUAUGAAGCAUUUCUUAAAAAAACACUAUAAAUAAUUUUUUAAAACUAUAAAUGAUUUUUUAGAUUUUUGAAAAUAUUUAUUAAAUUUUGUUAAUUAUUAUUAUUAUUUUAAAAAAAAUACUUUGUAAGCUAAAAACACUUCUUAAAAUCACUAUCAAAGCAACUUUAAGAAGGGGCUAACAACUAGUGUACCUAAUAGGCAUCCCAACUUGCUUAGUUUAAGAUGGAGAAUGUAAUGAAAAUGAAAAAAAAAAAAAAAAAAAGGUUCCUUGUAUGAAAAAAUCAACAAAAUUAUGGUGGUGGUUACAAAGGCUUAGUAGUCUCCUUAACAAGUCCCCUCAAUUAAAAUCUCAGUAGUACUUCUCUUUUCACCAUUUUUUUUCCCUAACACAUCCUCCAACUGAAGUCUCAGCCCCCCUCAGACAAAAAAUGUUUAGUUGAGAUGCGAAAGGCUCAACUUUUGCAAACCUCGAAAAGAGAAGACAAAAGACUUGUUGUGUUGGCACCUAACUUUUGGGACUUCUUCUUUAAGCCUCAAUUGGACUUGGACUAGGAAUAUAAUUCUACAAGGAUGACUGGUGGGGUGUGUGUUACUGAAUUUUUUUUCUUUUUGGAUCGAGCUGUGUUGGUGGGCUUCUCCUUACACCACCCGGCCUGAAUGCUUUCAUGGACCUAUGUUGGUUAUCUUUUCUUUUUGGGUUUCUAUUGGAGCCCAAAUGACUUAAUUUCUGUUUUGGAAGAAUUUUGAAAAUCCGUUUUAAAAAACAACUAAAAACAAUUUAAAAUGUUCUUGGAAAACACUAUAUUUUUGUCUUCAAAAAUGGAAAAUUGUUUUCUAUUUUAUGUUUCUUCUUAUUUGAUAUAUUUAAUAAAAGAUGUUUGAAAACUAAUAAUUUGAAGAAAAAAAAUGAAGUUUUGACAUAUUUUCAAAUAUCUCAAAAUAUAAUAAGUUAUUUGUACUUAUUUUAUAUAAUUAAGAUAAAACAUUUAACAACUAUUAAAAUGCAAAGAAAAUAUUAAAAAAUUCAUCUAACUUAAAUUUUCUAAGAUGUGCUUUUUUUGUGGUGCAUCGUUAAAUUUACAAAAAGUUAUGACUUAAGAAUUAUGAUUAUGAUUGAAAUGUGUGUUUAAUUAUUCAAAGUUAUGACUUUCGAAUCAAUUAUGAUUGAAAUGUGUGUUCAAUUGUACAACGAAUUCCCAAUUUAGGGAAGAAUAUUAAAUUUUAAUUGAAAUUGUUAGAUUUAAUGGGUACUUAGAUGAGCCUGAUUUAUCUUUUAGAAUCAUAAUUAGAGAAAUUUCAUUAAAAUUAAUUAUAGUUAUUUAUUUUGAUUUUCUAUAAGGAGUUACAUUUUGAAAAAUUACACUAAAUUCAUUUUUAAUCCAAAUUUUACAAGUUUUACGUUCUUUUCAUUUUUGAAUGAAUCUACCAAAAUUCAUCUUAAUUUCAUUAAGAUUGGAUGAGUUAUAAGGAAAAAAAUAUAUUGAUAGCUUAUAUAUGGUUUGUGGAUGAAUUUCAACUAUAGAUUACACUUCGGGAGGAAUAGGAGUUUUUCAUCAAGUUGAAAAAGUCUUCUAAGAAAGAUUGUCCGUCCUCUAAAGCAUUUUUCACCAUUUACAAUUUUUUUUGUUUUGUUCUUUUUAGCAAAUAAGCCAAACCACAUGCAAGAAGGAAUGCAUCAACACUCUUUCAACAAGUAAAUCAACAUAACUUACAUAUAAAUAGCAAUACUCCUUGAUUAAGAAUUACAUUAACUUUCAACUACAUAAUUCACAAAAGUAAAUAUCCUUCACUGAAAAUUAUUUCAAACCAUUUCAAAGAUUAAUUAAGCAUAUUUCAACUCAAAUUCUCCUCUAAUAUACUAAUUAAAACAAUAUAAUUUUAUUAAUAUAAGAUAAAUAUAAGGAAAUUAACUAAAGAAGAGAUAAAAUACUUGGGGCCUACAAGUGAUUAAAAAAACAUCUACUAUGAAGAACAAAAUUUAAAUAUAAAGUUUUAUCUAGCUCAAGUCUAUUAAUCUUUCUUGAGCCACUUGACUAGUAUCUUUCCAUUUUAACUACUUGUCUUUUUCUUCCAAAGUAUACUUGGAUUCCAUACCAAAAUCGAUCUUGAUAUCUUCUUGAAUCCACAUAAGUUCUUUAAUUAUUCUAAUCUUAAUUUAUGUGGAUGAUGUUAUUAUAAUAGAUAGAAACCCUUGCUAUAAUCCAAUGGAUUAUUAUCACUCUUAGCUCCAAAUUUGCUCUAAAGGACCUUGGCUAGUUGAAAUAUUUCUCGGGAAUUGAAGUUAACAUCACACCUUGGUUGGUACUCUCCCAUAUUUGACAUUCACUAGACCAGAUAUCACUCACGCAAUUAACGAAGUGUGCCAAGGUCUCCAACAACCAAGGCAAAUUUCAAGGUUGUGAAAUGAAAUCUACAUUGUUGAUCAAUUGUUAACUAAGAAAUGAAUAAUAAUUUUUAGGAGAGAGGCACUAUCAAAAAAAAAAAAAAAAAAAACAAAAUCAAUGUCAAACUUAUUUGGGUUUAAAGAGGAUUUGGUUGAUUAUAAUUCAUGUGUAACUGCACUUCCUUUGUCACUACCACCAUGUGACUCCAUAUAGUGUUUGGGAGAGUUAGAUCUUGGAAUUGGGCGUUUGCAAAAAUAGCCCGAAGGUCAAAAGCAGUUCAGGGUUGUGAUCAUAGGGUAUGGGUUAGAGAAACAAGAUGAUUGCUUUUAAAGUUUAAACUGAAAAUGUAGCGAUUCCCGAAUUUAAUAAAAUGUAGAAGUGUAGAAAAAAGGAAAACGAAACCAUGGAUUCAUGCCUCUACAUGAACUAAGCUUAGACAUGUUGACUAAUCAAACUCUAAUAUUGAUUUUACACCUGAGGCGCAUAUUUAUAGACUUUGAAGGCUUUCAUAUUUAGUUUCAACAAGGUACUUUUUGAAGAUGCAUUAAACCGUUUCUUUAUCUAAUGCAUUACUUCACCCACACUGAGUCUGUUGGUAGCAGUAGUAUUUAGUUUUGUGGGGUAUUAUUUGAGAUCUACUUGAGCAUUGAAUAAAAUUAGACUAAAAUGUUGUCUUCCCUUCCAGGUAUACUGCAGAGAACUCUGUAAAAUUUGGAGCUCCUCGAGAUAUGGCUUUGUGAUCCAUAUCUCAUGAAGCACAAUAGGGCUCUUUUGUUACUAAGUAGUGAUUUUGGCACUACAGUGCUCUUCAAUUUCUCUCUUAAUUUUUCAAUUUACAUGAAUGUGGAAACUUUUACACAUCAAUCAUUUGCUACAAUAAUAAUCAUGUAAAUUUGGUAUACUUUUCCCAUUCUCUAUAAUUGAUUAGCUUAGGAGCUGUAUGGAGAGGAAAAUGACAUGGGUCGGUGUUUGACAAUAACAGGAAACCUCUGACUCUUGGCAUUAAAAUGAGCUAAAGAUGGGUUUGGAAACCACUUUCAAAUGAAAAUUGACAUGCAUAAUUUUUUGUGUGUUUGACACAAUAAAAAUUACUUAACCAGAAAUGAAAUAGCGAGACCAAAGGGAAAGGGCUUGAGCGUCCUUGAUUCAAAGUCUCUAUAUCCCAAAGGGGAAGCAACUGAGCUUGAUAGCUGCCAUCAAGACAGAAUGACUCUUUGCACGAUUCUAUUGAAGAAGCUGAUUUUCCUACACGUUCAGCAUCGGUUCAUUCCGUACUGCUCACUAUAAGUACCUUUUGCCCUUAUUGAGGAGAGGGAGGCUUGUGCCAACCACUGCCCUUAGUCUCCCUGCCUCUGACCUCACUAUAUCGAGGAGUGACUUUGUCACAUGGCUUCAGAUGGAAUUACAGCACAGUAUUGGAAUUAGUAUUCAAAUGGCUACCCUAUGGAGAGUUUUUUAGGCCUCAAUCUUAACAGUAUAGGUUGACCACUCGGAAACUGGGACCACAACCUAGCCUAGGCUUGAUCCAGGCACUGCUUAGAGACACAUUUCACUUAACUUCUUUGAUCUGUUACUUGUAUUUAUUGUGACACUUAGUUGCUUCUUGUUUAUCUGAUCCAGGAAGCUUGUUUUAUCAAAGAAUGAGACCUUUCGAUGUUUAUGGAUGAAUUCCUCUUGUCAGCAUUGGUUCUUUAAUAUUCACCAAAAAGUGAACAAGCUUGGAGCCUUAGGUAGAUAUUUUACAAAGCCUUCUGUACUGUUAUCUUAUGCUAAGUACUGAAUAUAAAUGUUGUUAAGGGUACCACCAGUGACAUGCAGAUGCAAUGUUGAUCAUGGAUCUGUAUAAUUGGUCCACUUUUCCCAUUCUCUAUAAUUGAUUGACUUAGGAGCUGUAUGGAGAGGAAAAUGACAUGCAUAAUUUUUAGUGGAUUCAUGCUUCAAUCUUAACAAUACAGGUUGACCACAACCUAGCCUAAGCUUGAUCCAGGCACUACUUAGAGACAAGUAUUUAUUGUGACACUCAGUUGCAUCUUGUUUAGCUGAUCCAGGAAGCUUGCUUUAUCAAAGAAGCAAGACCUUUCGAUGUUUAUGGAUGAAUUCCUCUUGGCAGCAUUGGUUCUUUAAUAUUCACCAAAAAGUGAACAGGCUUGGAGCCAUAGGUAGAUAUUUUAGAAAGCCUUCUGUACUGUUGUCUUAUGCUGAGUACCACCAGUGACAUGCAGAUGCAAUGUUGAUUAUGAGAACACCAAUGGCAUAGUACAUCAACGGAUAUUUGAGUUGGCUUAUAAAAUAGGAAAGAAUUUAUUCCUUCCAUUUGUAUCAGCACGACUCAAUUGAUUAGCUAAAACUUAAGCUAAAUUUGUUGACUUAUCUUCCAUUUUCUACCCAUCUUUCUAUAUAUAUUUUGCACAUCAACGUUAAUUUAAUAAGGUCCUGCUAUUGUUUUAUUCUCUUGUGUUGAAUUUUGACUUAGUAUUUGCUGGAAUUUGAAUUUUGAAUAUUGCAGCUGGAGUCUUGCACAAAAUCUGCAACAUCUAGAUAUUUUCUUAUUUUUAUUUGGUCAAGAUUUGGUUUCUAUUUUAUAGGAAGUAGUUGUUCAUCAUCUAUUAGCUUGAUUUUCUGCUAUUCUAAUGUCAUUUAAGUUACAAGUUCAUGUAUAAAUUCAGCAUUCUUCAUCAAUAAGAUCAGAGCUCCGGCAGCCCAAAAAUAUAUAUUCUGUAUAAGUAUUUAAUCUUAUACCAACAAAGUGGUAUCAGAGCCAUAGUUAUCUUGAGGGGCCAGUGAGGUGAGUGAACCCAAACACCUUCUAAAAUCAUUUAGCAAUGGAAGAGUCAAGUCUCACAGUUGCACCAUCAAUUCUUGAUGGAGACAAUUAUGAAACUUGGGCUGUUAGAAUGACAGUUCAUCUACAAGCACUUGAUGUUUGGGAAGCAGUGGAAGAAAAUUAUGAAGUUCCUCCCCUGGGAGCCAAUCCAACUGUGGCUCAAAUGAAGUUGCAUAAAGAAAGAAGGACAAGAAAGGCUAAAGCGAAAGCUUGCUUGUUUGCUGCAGUUUCACCAUCAAUUUUCAUCAAAAUCAUGAAAAUUGAUUCAGCUGCAGAAAUUUGGGAGUAUCUCAAGGAGGAAUACAAAGGAGAUGAAAGAAUCAAGAACAUGCAGGUGAUGAACUUGAUUCGAGAAUUUGAAAUGAAGAAAAUGAGGGAGUCUGAUGCUGUUAAAGACUAUGCUGCACAACUUCUUUCAAUAGCAGACAAAGUUAGGCUGCUUGGAAAAGAAUUUUCCAAUGAGAAGAUUGUUCAAAAGAUAUUGGUUACACUUCCUGAGAAAUAUGAAGCUACAAUUUCCUCUUUGGAGAAUUCAAAAGAUCUGUCAACUAUUAGCUUGACAGAAUUAUUACAUUCCUUGGAGGCUGUGGAACAAAGAAGACUCAUGAGACAAGGAGAUACUGCAGAAGGAGCAUUUCAAGCAAGAAUGCAGAAAAAUGCAGGCCAUAAAAAUGGAAAGGUGAACAACAACAAGUCGUGUGGCAACAACCAGAAAAAUGGAAUUUUUCCACCUUGUCCUCAUUGCAAGAAGACAAAUCAUUCUCCACAAAAAUGUUGGUGGAGACCAGAUGUGAAAUGCAACAAGUGUGGUAAACAAGGACAUGUGGAGAGGAUUUGCAAAAAUCAACAGCAGGAAGAAACUAAUGCAGUAGUUGACUAUUGUCAGGAGGAGCAAUUGUUUGCAGCAACGUGUUUUGCUAAUAAAAGCACCUCUAAAAGCUGGCUUGUGGAUAGUGGUUGUACAAACCACAUGACAAAUAAUCAAGAUCUCUUUAGAGAACUUGAUAGAACAACUAUUUCCAAAGUCAGAAUUGGAAAUGGUGAGUAUAUUCCAGUGAAGGGCAAAGGAACGGUUGCUAUCGAAAGCCAAACAGGUUUGAAACUCAUUUAUGAUGUUUUGUUUGUGCCUGACAUUGACCAAAACUUACUCAGUGUUGGACAGCUCAUUGAGAAAGAAUUUAAAGUUUAUUUUGAAGAUAGGAAUUGCAUUAUCAAGGAUGCUGAAGGCAAAGAGGUGUUCAACAUAAAAAUGAAGGGCAAGAGUUUUGCCUUGAAUUUACUGGAAGAUGAGCAUACUGCUAUUUUACAACAAGAUAGCACAACAAUGUUUUGGGACAGAAGGGUCGAGCACUUUCAUCAUGAUGAUGUGCUUUACAUGAAGAAAAAUCAAAUAGUUGAAGGACUUCCUGACUUAGAAAAAGAUCUUCCUAUAUGUGCUACUUGUCAAUAUGGGAAGCAAACUAAACUUCCCUUUCCAAAGAAAAUAUCCUGGAGAGCAACCCAAAAACUGCAACUGGUGCAUACUGAUGUUGGUGGAUCUCAAAAAAUGCCAUCCUUGAAAUGGAAUGCAAACAACGUUUGGUGGAUCUCAAAAAAUGCCAUCCUUGAAAUGGAAUGCAAACAAUUUUGGGCUAAAACUGCAAGAAGAGCAGUAUAUUUUCUGAACAUAUUGCCAACAAAAGUGUUAAAGAAGCAGACCCCUUUCGAAGUUUGGUUUGAGUGUCUAUGUGCAAGACUUGGAGUUUGCAUCUACGAAGUCAAGGAGGAGUGUUGAAUUUUGACUUAGUAUUUGCUGGAAUUUGAAUUUUGAAUAUUGCAGCUGGAGUCUUGCACAAAAUCUGCAACAUCUAGAUAUUUUCUUAUUUUUAUUUGGUCAAGAUUUGGUUUCUAUUUUAUAGGAAGUAGUUGUUCAUCAUCUAUUAGCUUGAUUUUCUGCUAUUCUAAUGUCAUUUAAGUUACAAGUUCAUGUAUAAAUUCAGCAUUCUUCAUCAAUAAGAUCAGAGCUCCGGCAGCCCAAAAAUAUAUAUUCUGUAUAAGUAUUUAAUCUUAUACCAACAUCUUGCACAAACUAUUCUUCAAAAUACUUUACAAUGGCAUAGAUAAACUUGUCAUUUGCUUAACAUUGUUCAAAGGGCUUGACAUUGCUCAACAUUAUUUGAGCUUUUCUCCUACAGAUGCUUCAAUGGCAUGGCAAUGCAACCAGCCUUCAGGCAAUGGCACCCACUUACAUACUCUGCAAGAGCCCACAAUGGAAAAAUAUUCCUAUAAUCUGCACAGUGUAACAUGCAGUUAUUCAUGAAGGCUCCAGUGAUUUCCUGCCAUAGAUAAUUGAUGAUCAAAUGGUUAGACUACCACCCAGUAUAUAUAGUCAGCUACGAAAGAACAUCAUUUUCCAUUUCCCAAAACCAUGUUAAAAUGUUAUUCCUUUUGUUUUUAAUUCAUGUUCAAGUGUGCUACCUGUUGGGGAAAAUCACCAUCUUCCAUUUGGGAAUUAAUCAACAACUUUGCAGCCCUGUGAAGAGGUGUUGGGUCUCUCUCAGCCUGUUAGAAAGGAAAGGUUAGACUCAGAUGUUUGGGGAGAAGCCAUAUUGUGAAAAUAAUGUAGAUGACCAAGUUAAGCUUAGUGAUGAUGAAACUGUAUAAAAUAACCUGCCCAGAAGAAAGCAGCCCCAUCAGAGCCCACCCAGUUUGUACCAGAUUUGACUUGUUUCCUUCAAGAGGUGUAUAUUUCUGUAUCACCAAGCACAAGGAUUACUUUUUUUUUGUCCAUGUUUCUAUCAGAAAACAGAGAGCAGUGGGUGGCAUGUAAAAAUUACCUUGUCCCGGCAAGAAAUAUAGCUCUCUCCCCAACCACCAUCAUCUCUUUGUGAUUUGAGUAGAAACUCAACAGCUCUACCAAUAGCAAGACAGUUGUGGUAAGUCUUGCCAGCAGCUGCUAGGCCUCCAAGUGCCCACCAUGAGCUAUAGAUGAAACAUACUCCCCACUUGCCAUACCUGGUGAAAUGCUUCUUUGUUUAAAUGGAUCUGCACUGCAUAUAUAAAAAAAUAAUUCCCCAGUGAAAUAGUAAUAGUGGAUUUGAGAAACAAACCAUGAGCCAUCAGGCAUUUGUUGGUCUUCAAUGUACUUGGUAGCAUUUGUGAUGAAAUUGUCUAUCUCCUCCGUCCUGUGUUCGGGGUAUAACUUCUUAAACAAAACUAGAGCCUGAAUUGCUGAUGCAGUGCACUCAACAUACCUGGAUCAUCGUUUUGUUAGUCUCCAAGGAAGUUAAAUCUAGUAGAGUUAGAAAAGAAGGUCUAUUAUCAAGAAUCUUACUCAUGCUCGAUGACAAGGUCUUCAAACAUUUCACUGGGGUUGAGCAGCUGAAAAGAGAAGGGAUUGGCAUUGAUUUAGAUUCAAAGGAUACAGAGAGAGAGAGAGAGAGAGAGAGAGAAAACGGAAACAUUGAAGUUAUUUAAACAUGUUGAAGUAAUUUACCUCCAACCAUUCUGAAGCUCCUGCAGGCUCCCAGCCUACUAUACCACCAUUUUCACUCUACAGUGGUUUCGAAAAGAGGGGUUAUUGCUACUAAGAAGUUAUGACUUGUUUUGUGAUGGGGGAAACCAUGCAAAUGGCCCAAGGAAGAUGGUUCUCACCUGUAGGGAAAGCAGGAUGUUGACAGAAUCAAAUAGCCGUCCAGGUUCGAUCUUCAUACCAACAAUUUCUGGUGCCAUCAUUGAAAAGAGGAGACAACACUGUAACAGAGAGGGGACUUUAGUGAGAAACCAAGUGACUUUAGUUAAUUUGCAAGCCCUGACUCAAUUGAAGUGUUUGAGCAGAAAGAGUUACCUUCAAACCUUCUGCAGUGCAAUCAGAAACUUGCCAACCAUGAUCCUUAUCUGAGAAUGUCCACGAUCCUUUGGAAAUGUGGCGGUACAUGCUUUUAAAGUCACCGGAAGGAUUGUCCUUGACCUUCAAGAUUUCAAGCAAUACGAAGUAAAUGGACCAUGAGAAACCAAAGUAGAUUCUGGUUAAAGUAAAGCCAUAAACAAUGGAAUUCAAGAUCAAACCUGAGAUUCCUUUAGGAAUUCAUGGCCUUUCUUUAGCGUAGGUCCAAUUUCAUUGGUCAUAUUGCAAGCUAGCAGUGCUUGAAGGGCAAGACUAGUGUCCCACUCUUGACUACCAAAGGUCUGCAACAAUCGACAAUUUCAAAACCAAUUAGGCAGGAAAGGGACAAAAGCAUAGCUUCAAACCAAUUGCGUACUUGAAAAAUUUUAAGAAAAAGAUGACUGGAUAUUAUCUAUUUUUUCUACAACUGUUUGGGAGAUUAGUGAUUGAACUUGUUUUCUGACCUGCAUCUUUAUUCCAUCUUCUCCAACCCAUAUAUAAUCUGGAAUCCUAGCAAGGUGCUUCUUGAAAUAAUCCCCGUUUGGAUCUUCAACCCAACAUGAAAGCAUACACAACACCUAUUCAAUUUAAGCCAUAUUAGCACCCCAAAGAAGAGAUAUACUGUCUGAAUAGACAUUAUCCAUUGCAGAAAAAUUACCUUCUCCACACAUCCAAUGGUAAUGUAUCGACUGUUUUCAUCUUCAUAAUGGAUGUGUUUCAUUGUUACUUCAAGAGCCUUCUUUCUCAACUUGUUGAAGGGCCAACGAGUAAGAAGAGGCUCGGUACAUAUGUACAAACUAUCCCACAUCAUAUCUUGUAUUAGGGGGUGGGGGUAGUAGAGAUCCUCCUGCAAUAAACAAUUUUGAAAGUGUGUUUCAUGCAUGCGUAGCAUAUUCAUCGGAAAAGGAAAAGUGUUCCAUACAAAAUCAAAACUUACUUUUGCACAAAGAUGCCGUACUUUCUUCCAGUUGAUUUCAUUAUAUGGUUGAAGGAAGAGCUCUUCUCUCAGUUCUAGAACAAGAGGCGUGAUUGGGCCAACGAAUCGUUUACCAUAUAGGUAUGACAUGGGCAUGAAAAUCAACCGACUGUAGCACCAAAUUUUUGCUGCAUUGAUCGUCUCAAAUUAUAAGAAGCUAGACCAAAGAUAGGAAAGUGUAAGCUAAACCAAAGUAGACAUGGGAAUGGCAUUUCUUAAGACUAAUAAACCAUCCCCAGGUUGAAUUUGUAAGUAUUCAUGCGUGAUUUUAUAUUUGUAUAAGGCUGAAGUUACACAACUUUGGGCUUAGCAUUUUGAGUCAGUGUGACCAAUUCCAAGUUUUAUGCAAGAUGGCCUUAGGAUGUAAAAUGCAUUAAGUGCAGAAGUAGAUGUUAAA